rnacentral:lncRNA from 1 species
GGUAAUAAUGUGUAGCUUGCCACUCAGUCACACACACACGGUAUACUUUUUAACCCUUUUUUCCUCUUGUAAUUGACAGAUAACGUACAUUAAAGCUGCUUUGCCCAUACUUUACCGCUGGUGGCCUGUGGAUGGAGCAGCACGAACACGGCAGCACAGAGGAAUGCUGAAGGGUGGCACUAUAGAGUUACCAGAGAGGCAUCAGUCUUCGCUUUGAGACUCCAGAGGGGCAGAUUAACGCUGUGUUUAGACGCAAGCCAUGUGUGCAGC